CAUGCCUUUGAAUCUCACUUACAUCGGUCUCACUUCCAAAUUACAAGUCUUCGUUCAACUAGUCCUAAGUCUCGUCACUUCGACGUAGAGGCCGGGCAAGUCUAAGUCGUGCACAAGUCUUGGUAAGAACUUGUUUCCCUAAUGUGAAUAUAGUGAGUUCAAGUUUUCUAUCGAAUUAAAAAAGACGAAAACUACUACAAUUAAGGAGAGUGUAUAUAUAUAUAUAUUGUGUAUGGAGAGAAGUCGUUUCCUACUGUCAAGAAUGUUGUCGAGGAUACAUUGCUUGUUUUAUAUCUAUAUGAUGAUUAUGGCUAAUUACUUUACUCCAGGUGCAUUAGCAAUAGCUCAUACCAAUUUCAGCACAGAUCAGUCUGCGCUUCUUGCGCUCAAAGCUCACAUCACUAGUGACCCUCAAAACAUCUUGACCGCCAACUGGU
rnacentral:lncRNA from 1 species